CUGUAGCCAUAGUAACAAGGGCACCAAAAAGAGAAACAAAGUAAGCCAGCGGACCUACUGGGUGGGGAGAAGGGGCGGCUGCCCUGAGGCCCUAGGCCCUAGGGGCAGAUGGUCCUUCAUUCCCAGUCCAAACUAGACCUUUCCACAGCCUCCGUGCCCGUCAAAGCCUGAAGAGGUUUCAUCAACAUUCUCAAAAUUGUGUGUUGGACCACCUGGCUGGACUCUAGACCCCCAGAGACAGAUCUGCCCACAGACCCACCCCUUGCUGUCUGUUCAAGAUGAAGAAACUGAGACAGGAGGAGUUGAGCCAUGGGCCCAGGACUAUCUCCGACUAGCAAAAACCAAAGCAACAACAGCAACGGAAAUUUUCUUCAUAUUGGCUGUACAGAAAUGCAACCAGGUGCAAAUUUAUCCAAAAUUCCAGAAAAACAAAUGAGCCAAUAAAUCAGAUUUGGGCUUGUUUACCCUCUCUCCUCUUGCUUACAAAACUGUGUUCAUGCUUUUGUCUGUUCACAGACAAGUGGGAGAUGCUUGGGGACACCUGUCUUCUUCUAGAUGUUUGCCCUGGGGGAACACACACAAGAGUUGUCACAAAUCCUUGGAGAACCACUUCUCACAGAAGGUUGGUUCUCUUCCCCACCUCUCUGCACGCCCCCCCCCCAUUAAAACAUGGCCAUUGAGAUAGUAAAGACGGGAGGUAGGAAGGCAUGUGUACCAUCGCCAACACCAGGAGACCACAGCAGACAUUACUGAUGGAUCAAGGCAUUACUGAUGGAUCAAGACAUUACUGAUGGAUCAAUCCCUCCCAGCCUGGACUUGGGGUCGCAAUCCUCCAGAGCCUUACCAGUUAACCAGAGCUGGCAACUAAGGUGGGAACGACGUGAGAUCCCACAGAGCCCAAGCCCCUCAGUGUAUAGAUGACGACACCAACAGUCCAAGAACGGGGAGUGAUUCAUGUGAGAUCACACGGCACAAUUCCUAGCAAAAUGAGCCCUCUGCUCAGCUCUGUGCUCCAACAGAUGUGACUGAUACGGGGACGAGGGCCUCCCCUGAGGCUGAAGAAGAAGGGCCAGAGGAAGGUGGAGACUCUCCUCAGGCAAGGACCAUCCUUUUGUUCUUUGGCAAUUUACCAACGUAUUUCUAAUCAUUUGCUUCAUUUCUGCGAGCAACCUAGCAUGGCAGGCGUUAGCAGUCCCAUCUCGCAGGUGAUGAAUCUAUGACACAGAGAGGACAAGUGACGGUCCCAAGGUCAUCCUUCCACGAGGUGGCAGCGUCAGGACCAGGACCCCAACCUGAGUUCCAAUUAUGUCCUCCUUCUUGCUGCCAAGAAUCUCAUCCACGGAAAAGAGAAAAAGAAACAAGUUUCCCUGUUAGAACUGCCUGUAGAAGGAGGAAGAGGAGGAAGAGGAGGAAGAAAGGAAGGAAGGAGUUUCUUUGAGGUUCACCCAUGUAGCUAUAGAUCAUUCUUUUUCAUUGCUAUGUAUAUUUCUACCUUAUAAAUAUACCUCACUUUGUUAUCCAUUUUUCUGUUGACAUAUAUUCAGAAAUGCAGAUUAAAA